UCCGUUCUUGCCAGCAGGACCAACAGGGCCGGGGGCACCGGGGGCACCGGGAGCACCAGGGGGGCCGGCAGGGCCAGUCUCACCACGGUCACCCUGUGAGGAGGAAGAGGAAGAAGAGGAAGAGGAGGAAGAGGAGAGGGGGUCCGGCGCUUCCGCGAGCACCUUUGGGACCAGGAGCACCAACAGCACCCUGCGGGGGAGGAAGAGGAGGAAGAGGAGGAGACACGGGCACCCACCUUGGGACCGGCGAUGCCGUCAGCGCCAGGGAAACCACGGCUGCCGGGAGCACCCUGCGAGGGACACCAGAGGGGGCCGGGGGGACCUUGGACACCAGCGGGACCCUGGGGGAGGAGACGAAGGGAUGAGCACCCACAGGAUGUGCUGGGGCCAAGAGGGACCGAGACCCCAAGGUGACACUGAGGAAUCACUUACGGGUUCGCCUUUGGCACCAGUGUCACCCUUGUUGCCUGGAGCACCGGGCUCACCCUGGAGGUGGAUGGAGAGAAGAAGGAAAAGCUGUUUAACACCAGAUUGAGGAGCAGAGGGAGACCUGAGCCACAUCCUGAUCACCCCUCAGAGGCAGGAGGGUGCUCAGCAUCUGUCACCCCCCAGCACCACCCUGCCCUGACAGGGACCAGAGGACACCAGAGGAGGCACCUCCAGGUAGGACAUCAGCUUGCUGGAGCAGAGAAAGGGAUCCAACCCCAGGAAGAAGAAGAUGGAGGUGUCCAGGGAUACUCACAGCGUUACCCUUGGGACCGGGGGCACCACUGGGAC